AGAGUUUGAUCCUGGCUCAGAACGAACGCUGGGGGCGUGCCUAAUACAUGCAAGUCGAACGAGAAAGGGUCUUCGGACCUGAGUAAAGUGGCGAACGGGUGAGUAAGGCAGGAGUAAUCUACCCUUAAGUGGGGGACAAUACCUCGAAAGGGGUGCUAAUACCGCAUAAGACCACGGAUUCUUUGGAAUCUGAGGUAAAAGAUGACCUUUUAGGUUAUUGCUUAGGGAUGAGCUCAUGUACUAUUAGCUAGUUGGUAGGGUAAUGGCUUACCAAGGCGAAGAUGGUUAGCUGGUUUGAGAGGAUGGCCAGCCACACUGGAACUGAGAUACGGUCCAGACUCCUACGGGAGGCAGCAGUAAGGAAUCUUGCGCAAUGGGGGAAACCCUGACGCAGCAACGCCGCGUGAGUGAAGAAGGCCUUCGGGUCGUAAAGCUCUGUUAGGUGAGAAGAAGGGGAUAAUAUCCCUUGACGGUAUCACCAGAGGAAGCACCGGCUAACUCCGUGCCAGCAGCCGCGGUAAUACGGAGGGUGCAAGCGUUGUUCGGAAUUAUUGGGCGUAAAGCGCGUGCAGGCGGUUGCUUAAGUCUGAUGUGAAAGCCCUGGGCUUAACCCGGGAAGUGCAUUGGAAACUGGGCAACUUGAGUACGGGAGAGGAUAGUGGAAUUCCGAGUGUAGGGGUGAAAUCCGUAGAUAUUCGGAGGAACACCGGUGGCGAAGGCGGCUAUCUGGACCGAUACUGACGCUGAGACGCGAAAGCGUGGGGAGCAAACAGGAUUAGAUACCCUGGUAGUCC
rnacentral:rRNA from 1 species